rnacentral:rRNA from 1 species
UGGGGAAUAUUGGACAAUGGGCGCAAGCCUGAUCCAGCCAUGCCGCGUGAGUGACGAAGGUCUUCGGAUUGUAAAGCUCUUUUUGGCGGGGACGAUAAUGACGGUACCCCAAGAAGAAGCUCCGGCUAACUUCGUGCCAGCAGCCGCGGUAAUACGAAGGGGGCUAGCGUUGUUCGGAUUUACUGGGCGUAAAGCGCGUGUAGGCGGGUCGUUAAGUUGGGGGUGAAAUCCCGAGGCUCAACCUCGGAACUGCCUUCAAAACUGGCGACCUGGACCUAAGUAGAGGCAAGUGGAAUUGCGAGUGUAGAGGUGAAAUUCGUAGAUAUUCGCAGGAACACCAGUGGCGAAGGCGACUUGCUGGACUUAUGGUGACGCUGAGACGCGAAAGCGUGGGGAGCAAACAGGAUUAGAUACCCCGGUAGUCCCUGAGCGGGCUGGCAAGGCGCAU